AUCCUGGGUUCAGCUUCCCCUGUGAGAAGGACACAUAUAACAAUAAGAAAUUAAGGGUUCGGGAAGGAGAGGGGCCACCCUGUGCUCACCCCCACACAGCCCUGCAGGAAAACCCAGUGAACGGUGCCCAGGUGCCUGGCUGACUCCUGGGCCGGGAGGGGACAUGGAGGGACAGUGGCCAUCAGGCUCUUUGUGGACACUGGGGAUUAACUACUGCUCGUUCUCAGCUCACUGGUGUCCAGCCCAUCAAUAACCUCAUCAAUAACCUAACUUUGGUCAAUUAGGUUGGAGUCCGAAGGUGACUGAUUUGCGGCAAGGUUUUCUCUCUUCCUCUGUAAAGUGGAGUCCUUCAUCAUUCAUCGCAAGUAGACAACUCGCUUCCUAAUGCCUCUGCAUUAAGGAGCCAGGCGCUGCAGCUCUUUGGUACGUGACCUCAAAUAGAUUCAUGCGUCCUUCUGCUGACACGGUGGCAGAGGAGAGGGAAGGGUCGCGCCUGGUGGGGGCCUGAGAGCCACCGGGCUGCGGUGCGCGAGUGUGGACACCGCCCCGCCUUCUGCGUCUACAGCCCUGGGUUCUGGGACCUUUGG
rnacentral:lncRNA from 1 species